rnacentral:rRNA from 1 species
UACGAAGGGGGCGAGCGUUGUUCGGAAUUACUGGGCGUAAAGGGCGCGCAGGCGGCCUCUUGCAGUCAGAUGUGAAAGCCCCGGGCUCAACCUGGGAAUGGCAUUUGAUACUCGAGGGCUUGAGUACGGGAGAGGAGAGUGGAAUUCCCAGUGUAGAGGUGAAAUUCGUAGAUAUUGGGAAGAACACCGGUGGCGAAGGCGGCUCUCUGGACCGUAACUGACGCUGAGGCGCGAAAGCGUGGGGAGCAAACAGG